GACGAACGCUGGCGGCGUGCUUAACACAUGCCAGUCGAACGGAAAGGCCCUGCUUGCAGGGUACUCGAGUGGCGAACGGGUGAGUAACACGUGGGUGAUCUGCCCUGCACUUCGGGAUAAGCCUGGGAAACUGGGUCUAAUACCGGAUAGGAGCCAUUUUUAGUGUGAUGGUUGGAAAGUUUUUUCGGUGUAGGAUGAGCUCGCGGCCUAUCAGCUUGUUGGUGGGGUAAUGGCCUACCAAGGCGGCGACGGGUAGCCGGCCUGGGAGGGUGGACGGCCACAUUGGGACUGAGAUACGGCCCAGACUCCUACGGGAGGCAGCAGUGGGGAAGAUUGCACAAUGGGCGCAAGCCUGAUGCAGCGACGCCGCGUGGGGGAUGACGGCCUUCGGGUUGUAAACUCCUUUCGCUAGGGACGAAGCUUUUUGUGACGGUACCUAGAUAAGAAGCACCGGCUAACUACGUG
rnacentral:rRNA from 1 species